GGGCAGCUUAUCACAGUGUUAGGGUGCUAAAUGAGGGCAGCAGCCAAGAGCUGGAAUACUGCAAGUGAGGUCACCUCCUGGAUCCUAUACUACAUAAAGGGGAGGUAUAUAGAUGACUGCUCAUAAAGUUAUACACUUAGUGAGGGGAGCUGUGUUCAAAUAAUUCAUAUUCGUGUGAGAUUGUACCUAGAAAGCAACAGAAAACCACAAGGGCUAUAAAAGCUUUUCUAGAACUCCAAACAGUUAUGGAAGGACGCGAGGAGGUGGAGACACGGGGUACUUACAGAGUAGCUGCAGGUCUCGUUCACCAAGACCCGGGUUGAGAAGGUUUCGUUGCGAGCGUCGAUGAGCAGCGUCCGG